rnacentral:rRNA from 1 species
UACGAAGGGUGCAAGCGUUACUCGGAAUUACUGGGCGUAAAGCGUGCGUGGGUGGUUUGUUAAGUUUGCUGUGAAAGCCCCGGGCUCAACCUGGGAAUGGCAGUGGAUACUGGCAAGCUAGAGUGCGGUAGAGGGGUGUGGAAUUCCCGGUGUAGCGGUGAAAUGCGUAGAGAUCGGGAGGAACACCAGUGGCGAAGGCGGCACCCUGGACCAGCACUGACACUGAGGCACGAAAGCGUGGGGAGCAAACAGG